rnacentral:rRNA from 1 species
CCCUUCGGGGUGGAUUAAUGGCGAACGGGUGAGUAACACGUGGGCAAUCUGCCCUUCACUCUGGGACAAGCCCUGGAAACGGGGUCUAAUACCGGAUACGACACACGACCGCAUGGUCUGUGUGUGGAAAGCUCCGGCGGUGAAGGAUGAGCCCGCGGCCUAUCAGCUUGUUGGUGGGGUGAUGGCCUACCAAGGCGACGACGGGUAGCCGGCCUGAGAGGGCGACCGGCCACACUGGGACUGAGACACGGCCCAGACUCCUACGGGAGGCAGCAGUGGGGAAUAUUGCACAAUGGGCGAAAGCCUGAUGCAGCGACGCCGCGUGAGGGAUGACGGCCUUCGGGUUGUAAACCUCUUUCAGCAGGGAAGAAGCGAAAGUGACGGUACCUGCAGAAGAAGCGCCGGCUAACUACGUGCCAGCAGCCGCGGUAAUACGUAGGGCGCAAGCGUUGUCCGGAAUUAUUGGGCGUAAAGAGCUCGUAGGCGGCUUGUCACGUCGGAUGUGAAAGCCCGGGGCUUAACCCCGGGUCUGCAUUCGAUACGGGCAGGCUAGAGUUCGGUAGGGGAGAUCGGAAUUCCUGGUGUAGCGGUGAAAUGCGCAGAUAUCANGAGGAACACCGGUGGCGAAGGCGGAUCUCUGGGCCGAUACUGACNCUGAGNANCNAAAGCGUGGGGAGCGAACAGGAUUAGAUACCCUGGUAGUNCNGCNC